UCUCCCUGGCGAUGGGCAAAGAGACACCUUGUUGGUGGUAACGAAUUUAUGUCAGUUGGGGGCAGAGCAGAUGGCAGUCCUUUGCUCAUCCUAGCUUGAUGCCCGGCUUGGUGGCCAAGGCUGCUUCAUUGCUAGGACACAUGA
ensembl:snoRNA LOC120100406 small nucleolar RNA SNORA48